GAAAGGUUUGCGCCGCGGUACCGGUGUGAUGGCAGCACCUGGCAAACACUGCUGGUGGGAUGCACAUUAACACAGUGCUAUGUCUGGCGUGCCUCUGCACAUCCUCAGACUGGAUCUGGGCUAAAGCAGAGCCUGCAAGGCCCUUCUGAAGGAACUCCACAGGAUUUGCAAGCAGCCUCACCUGUCAAUGAGCCAGCAAGGGAUUCAUCACAGUAUCUCUGUGAGGAAUGCUGCAUGGGAAGAAGAUCCACGCCUGUCACUGCAGAUGUGCUCCAGAUGUUGCAUCUCACUACUGUUAGCUCGGGAUGCCACUUUCCCUUGUUGUGCUAGCAAAGUGCACAGAAACCCUAACCUGCUCCAGUAGCCUCGCACUACCACUGUGUGCGGCACCGCUCGCCGUUAUUAGUAUGGCAAAUGGAACAAUAUUGAUUCAGAGGAUUUGUGGUUUACCAACAUCAUUUCCCUGUUAGCAUUCACACCAAUGCCUGACUCAUGAAUACACAUGAAGGCCCAAACAGUUUAAAGCAUGUGAACAUGUGAGAGCUGUUACUUUCUGUUGGCCCCACUGCUCCCAUGGGGCCACAUCCAGCACCCACUGGGCCGUUUGUGCUACCUGGAUCAUGGCCACCAAACCCUUGAUUUUGGAGGCCUCUAUCUGCCUUUGUAGCCCAGGUUUUGCAGGAUCUCCUUUAUCUCAGCAUGUGGUUGGAGAGUAACAGGCUGCCUGGCUCUUGACAAGUCAUCUAUGAAAUAUAGAUUGUGCUUUCACAUGCCA